AGUGAACGCUGGCGGUAGGCCUAACACAUGCAAGUCGAACGGCAGCACAGGAGAGCUUGCUCUCUGGGUGGCGAGUGGCGGACGGGUGAGGAAUACAUCGGAAUCUACUCUGUCGUGGGGGAUAACGUAGGGAAACUUACGCUAAUACCGCAUACGACCUACGGGUGAAAGCAGGGGAUCUUCGGACCUUGCGCGAUUGAAUUGGCCGAUGUCGGAGUAGCUAGUUGGCGGGGUAAAGGCCCACCAAGGCGACGAUCCGUGUCUGGUCUGAGAGGAUGAUCAGCCACACUGGAACUGAGACACGGUCCAGACUCCUACGGGAGGCAGCAGUGGGGAAUAUUGGACAAUGGGCGCAAGCCUGAUCCAGCCAUACCGCGUGGGUGAAGAAGGCCUUCGGGUUGUAAAGCCCUUUUGUUGGGAAAGAAAUCCAGCUGGCUAAUACCCGGUUGGGAUGACGGUACCCAAAGAAUAAGCACCGGCUAACUUCGUGCCAGCCGCCGCGGUAA
rnacentral:rRNA from 1 species